rnacentral:rRNA from 1 species
GAGUUUGUCCUGGCUCAGAACGAACGUUGGCGGCGUGGAUUAGGCAUGCAAGUCGAACGAAUCCCGGGGGGGUAACUCUCCGGGGGAAGUGGCGAAAGGGGCAGUAAGGCGUGGGUAACCUACCCCGGGGACCGGGAUAGCCAUCCUAACGGGUGGGUAAUACCGGGCGAGGUGAUGGUCCUGCCUGGGAUCGUCAUGAAAGGAAAUUCGCCUCGGGAGGGGCUCACGUGGUAUUAGCUGGUUGGUGAGGUAACGGCUCACCAAGGCCGAGAUGCCUAGCAGGUGUGAGAGCAUGACCUGCGCCACUGGCACUGAGACACUGGCCAGACUCCUACGGGAGGCAGCAGUGGGGAAUCUUGCGCAAUGGGCGAAAGCCUGACGCAGCGACGCCGCGUGGGGGAUGAAGCAUUUCGGUGUGUAAACCCCUUUCGACUGGGACGAAUGCCUCGCAAGAGGAGUGACGGUACCAGUAGAAGAAGCCCCGGCUAACUACGUGCCAGCAGCCGCGGUAAGACGUAGGGGGCCAGCGUUGUUCGGAAUUACUGGGUGUAAAGGGUUCGUAGGCGGUGUGGCAAGUCGGGAGUGAGAUCUAUGGGCUUAACUCAUAGGCUGCUUCCGAAACUGCUGUGCUUGAGUGUGGGAGAGGCGCGUGGAAUUGCAGGUGUAGCGGUGAAAUGCGUAGAUAUCUGCAGGAACACCCGUGGCGAAAGCGGCGCGCUGGACCACAACUGACGCUGAGGAACGAAAGCUAGGGGAGCAAACAGGAUUAGAUACCCUGGUAGUCCUAGCCCUAAACGAUCAGGACUUGGGGUGCCACCCGUUCGGGUGUCGUCCCGGAGCUAACGCGUUAAGUCCUGCACCUGGGGAGUACGGUCGCAAGACUGAAACUCAAAGGAAUUGACGGGGGCCCGCACAAGCGGUGGAACAUGUGGUUCAAUUCGACGCUACGCGAGGAACCUUACCUGGGCUCGAAGCGCACCUGACCAGCUGUAGAAAUACGGCCUUCUCGCAAGAGACAGGUGUGGAGGCGCUGCAUGGCUGUCGUCAGCUCGUGCCGUGAGGUGUUGGGUUAAGUCCCGCAACGAGCGCAACCCCUGCACGUAGUUGCCACUCCGCAAGGAGGGAACUCUACGUGGACUGCUCCGGAUAACGGAGAGGAAGGUGGGGAUGACGUCAAGUCCGCAUGGCCUUUAUGUCCAGGGCUACACACGUGUUACAAUGCAGGGCACAAACCGUUGCCAACCCGCGAGGGGGAGCUAAUCGGAAAAAACUCUGCUCAGUUCGGAUUGCAGUCUGCAACUCGACUGCAUGAAGCCGGAAUCGCUAGUAAUGGCGUAUCAGAUCGACGCCGUGAAUACGUUCCCGGGCCUUGCACACAC